GACUCCGCCCAAUCUCCCGCGUACCCUAGACGUGAACGAGUGCCUGGAGGGCGAUUUCUGCUUCCCUCACGGCGAGUGCCUCAACACUGACGGCUCCUUUGCCUGUACUUGUGCCCCUGGCUACCGACCCGGACCCCGCGGAGCCUCUUGCCUCGACGUUGACGAGUGCAGCGAGGAGGACCUUUGCCAGAGCGGCAUCUGUACCAACACCGACGGCUCCUUCGAGUGCAUCUGUCCUCCGGGACACCGCGCCGGCCCGGACCUCGCCUCCUGCCUCGACGUGGACGAAUGUCGCGAGCGAGGCCCAGCCCUGUGCGGGUCGCAGCGCUGUGAGAACUCUCCCGGCUCCUACCGCUGUGUCCGGGACUGCGAUCCUGGGUACCACGCGGGCCCCGAGGGCACCUGUGACGAUGUGGACGAAUGCCGGAACCGGUCCUUCUGCGGUGCCCACGCCGUGUGCCAGAACCUGCCCGGCUCCUUCCAGUGCCUCUGUGACCAGGGUUACGAGGGGGCACGGGAUGGGCGUCACUGCGUGGAUGUGAACGAGUGUGAAACACUACAGGGUGUAUGUGGAGCUG
rnacentral:sRNA from 1 species